CGUAUUUAAAGGGGACGCAGCCUGCCUGACUGCCAGGAGCCAAGCGCGAGUCGGCCCAGCCAAAGCGCAUGCGCGAGGCGCGCGCCGCUUUUUGCUUCACAGUGCUUCCCACGGUUGUCUUAGGAACCAGUCCCCGAGGCUUGGCAACGCGGGAGCCCUCCGUGGCAGCGCUUGGGUGUCGGGCCUCCGAGGCUCCGGCCUGACCUCUCCACGGGGUCCACAGGAACGUCUCCGGCUGCCAGGAGUCGCAAGGGGCCGAGCAGGAUGAGGAAACCACAGGCGGAGUCCGGGGGAAGCAGCGUGGCAUCCCAGCCUCAGGGCUGUCAGGACGGUGUUCGGGAACGUCUCCGGCUGCCAGGAGUCACAAGGGGCCGAGCAGGAUGAGGAAACCACAGGCGGAGUCCGGGGGAAGCAGCGUGGCAUCCCAGCCUCAGGGCUGUCAGGACGGUGUUCGGGAUCGAGAGGACCACACUGCAGCCCAGGACAAAAGCCCCACGGUAGCACAUUGUCCGGCAGGAGAGGAGCAGACCCACGUCCAAGAAGAUGGUUUUACCUUUCCACGCCCCUUCUCUGCGAAAUGAAGCCACACCACCACACAGUCUUGAAGAGGAAGCCUGGAAUGGGAGACGGCAACAAGCCCCGUCCCUGGAACGCUGGCCUCUCUGGACAAGCCACCCGCUUCGCACCCCUCCUCUUAUGCCCGUGGCGGUGGCACGGCGCUGUAUCCUGCCUGGGCUAUGGCCUCUGCUCUGUCGUCCCUCUUGCUCUGUCUCCCCUGUUUCUGAGCGGCCUAGAUGCCUCUCGGUCUGGCUGAAUAUCUUCUACGAAGAUCACGUCCCCGUCCAUCAGGGAGACACUUCCUGGAGAUCCGUGUCAUGACUGUUUCUCUCUCCAAGCCUGUUUCUGCUGGAUUGCGCAGGUCUGAUGACCCUGGGGCUCUUGGCUUCCAUACGUGUCUCAGACAGGGAAGCUUCCUCGGUCUCCGUGUUUCACCUCAUGGGUGGGUGGAUUGCCUAGGAUGAGCGAGCGCUAGGCCGGCGAGACUGGCCUUGUCUUCUAGGACAAGUGCAUUUCCCCUGCGCUUCCUGUCUCACUCUUGAGGGACAUCCUCUCCUCCGCUCACAGGUGGACAGACUCCCUGGAUCUUUUGGCUGUAACGAAUGUCAGGAAACAAAGGGACUGCGCUGGGACUGGGGCUGGGGCU